GGCCGGGCGACGGUUGUCCCGGUUUAAGCGUGUAGGUGUGUGUUCCAGGUAAAUCCGGUUCACUUUAACACUGAGGCGUGACGACGAGGCACUACGGUGCUGAAGCAACAAAUGCCCUGCUUCCAGGAAAAGCCUCUAAGCAUCAGGUAACAUCAAAUCGUACCCCAAACCGACACAGGUGGUCAGGUAGAGAAUACCAAGGCGCUUGAGAGAACUCGGGUGAAGGAACUAGGCAAAAUGGUGCCGUAACUUCGGGAGAAGGCACGCUGACACGUAGGUGAAGUGAUUUACUCAUGGAGCUGAAGUCAGUCGAAGAUACCAGCUGGCUGCAACUGUUUAUUAAAAACACAGCACUGUGCAAACACGAAAGUGGACGUAUACGGUGUGACGCCUGCCCGGUGCCGGAAGGUUAAUUGAUGGGGUCAGCGCAAGCGAAGCUCCUGAUCGAAGCCCCGGUAAACGGCGGCCGUAACUAUAACGGUCCUAAGGUAGCGAAAUUCCUUGUCGGGUAAGUUCCGACCUGCACGAAUGGCGUAAUGAUGGCCAGGCUGUCUCCACCCGAGACUCAGUGAAAUUGAACUCGCUGUGAAGAUGCAGUGUACCCGCGGCAAGACGGAAAGACCCCGUGAACCUUUACUAUAGCUUGACACUGAACAUUGAGCCUUGAUGUGUAGGAUAGGUGGGAGGCUUUGAAGUGUGGACGCCAGUCUGCAUGGAGCCGACCUUGAAAUACCACCCUUUAAUGUUUGAUGUUCUAACGUGGACCCGUUACCCGGGUUGCGGACAGUGUCUGGUGGGUAGUUUGACUGGGGCGGUCUCCUCCUAAAGAGUAACGGAGGAGCACGAAGGUUGGCUAAUCCUGGUCGGACAUCAGGAGGUUAGUGCAAUGGCAUAAGCCAGCUUGACUGCGAGCGUGACGGCGCGAGCAGGUGCGAAAGCAGGUCAUAGUGAUCCGGUGGUUCUGAAUGGAAGGGCCAUCGCUCAACGGAUAAAAGGUACUCCGGGGAUAACAGGCUGAUACCGCCCAAGAGUUCAUAUCGACGGCGGUGUUUGGCACCUCGAUGUCGGCUCAUCACAUCCUGGGGCUGAAGUAGGUCCCAAGGGUAUGGCUGUUCGCCAUUUAAAGUGGUACGCGAGCUGGGUUUAGAACGUCGUGAGACAGUUCGGUCCCUAUCUGCCGUGGGCGCUGGAGAACUGAGGGGGGCUGCUCCUAGUACGAGAGGACCGGAGUGGACGCAUCACUGGUGUUCGGGUUGUCAUGCCAAUGGCACUGCCCGGUAGCUAAAUGCGGAAGAGAUAAGUGCUGAAAGCAUCUAAGCACGAAACUUGCCCCGA
rnacentral:rRNA from 3 species